rnacentral:rRNA from 1 species
CUACGGGGUGCAGCAGUGGGGAAUAUUGCACAAUGGGCGCAAGCCUGGUGCAGCCAUGCCGCGUGUAUGAAGAAGGCCUUCGGGUUGUAAAGUACUUUCAGCGGGGAGGAAGGGAGUAAAGUUAAUACCUUUGCUCAUUGACGUUACCCGCAGAAGAAGCACCGGCUAACUCCAGUGCCAGCAGCCGCGGUAAUACGGGGGGUGCAAGCGUUAAUCGGAAUUACUGGGCGUAAAGCGCACGCCGGCGGUUUGUUAAGUCAGAUGUGAAAUCCCCGGGCUCAACCUGGGAACUGCAUCGGACUGGCAAGCUUGAGGCUCGUAGAGGGGGGUAGAAUUCCAGGUGUAGCGGUGAAAUGCGUAGAGAUCUGGAGGAAUACCGGUGGCGAAGGCGGCCCCCUGGACGAAGACUGACGCUCAGGUGCGAAAGCGUGGGGAGCAAACAGGAUUAGAUACCCGGGUAGUC